CAACAGGGUGCUGGUGACACAGGCGGGCCACAAAAUCGGCAGGAAACAGCCAUUAAACCAAAUGGUCCAUGGACCUGACCUCAGACUUGACCCGUGUGAUUGUAAGCAAACUCAUUCAGCGAGGUAGAUUCGAAUACAACAUGAAGGCCCGGGGCUCAAAUCGAGGAACAAAGAAUGACAAGAGAGAGCUUCAACACGGUCAAACAAAAU